CUUCGGUGAGGAAGUGAUGACGAGUCUGACUAGGGGUGUUGUCUUUAUCCAGGAGGCCUCACUGUGCUGCGUUCUGUGGCACAGCUGAAAGCACUGGCCAAAGAAACAUCCCAAAGAUGACCUACAGAUGUUUGUCUGAGAAGG